GGAGGGGUGGCAGAGUGGACGAUUGCGACGGUCUUGAAAACCGUUAUACCAGCAAUGGUAUCGGAGGUUCGAAUCCUCUCCCCUCCGCC
rnacentral:tRNA from 1 species